rnacentral:rRNA from 1 species
AUACGUAGGGAGCGAGCGUUGUCCGGAAUUACUGGGUGUAAAGGGUGCGUAGGCGGGACUGCAAGUCAGACGUGAAAUGCCGGGGCUCAACCCCGGAGCUGCAUUUGAAACUGUGGUUCUUGAGUGAGGUAGAGGUAAGCGGAAUUCCUAGUGGAGCGGUGAAAUGCGUAGAUAUUAGGAGGAACAUCGGUGGCGAAGGCGGCUUACUGGGCCUUUACUGACGCUGAGGCACGAAAGCGUGGGGAGCAAACAGGAUCAGAUACCCUGGUAGUCCACGCUGUAAACGAUGAUGACUAGGUGUGGGGGGACUGAACCCUUCCGUGCCGCAGUUAACACAAUAAGUCAUCCACCUGGGGAGUACGGCCGCAAGGUUGAAACUUAAAGGAAUUGACGGGG